GCCCGUUUGGUCUAGAGGUAUGAUACCGCCUUCGGGCUUGUUAGUAACAGAGCAGUGAAUGGCGGUGGCCGUCGGUUCGAAUCCGGCAACGGGCC
rnacentral:tRNA from 1 species